UUUUUAAGUUCAACUUUUCACUUAAAUUGUUGUGACAAAAUAAAUUGCAAAGAAAAAAACAUUAAUUUUGUUCAUAAAAAAAUGCAAACAAAAAUGCUACAUAAUUAUUAAUAUAAUUGUCAACAAUUUGAGUUACACGUUUUGUCUCAGUAUAUACUGAAUACAAAGUUUAGUUCUAUAGCAUUUACAAAUAUCAAUUGCUAUCAUGUGUAGGCCUACCUGUCUUUUCAAACGUAAACAUCAUCAAUCACUGAUUACAAAGAAUAAUUGUUUCUACUGGUGGAGAAAUCUGUGGAAAAUAAUAGUUGGUUGCAUUGCAGGGGGACAGUCAGUGGGUUCAAAACCCCCUCCUCUUUGGUUCUUCAACCAAAGCACCUCCCCUCGACCUAUCAGGGUAAUUCACUCACUUUUCUCUUUCUCACAAGGGCUUCAGUGCAGUUUUCCAUUCAGGGGAACAUAUCCCGUGACAAUAACGGACUCCUCCAGGCACUCCAAGACAUCUGAGCCUUCAGCCUGGAGUGCUCUUGGAUCACAAGCUUGAAGUUUUGCGUCUGAAGAGCUCAUUGGAAAGGAAGAGUUUUAUUGCGGGUGAGGCACGUUUAACGGCACUUCAGGAGUUGCAUAGCAGGGGCCAAUGGGCGUGUGGAAGCUGGCCAAGGUGGUGCUCGGAUGGGCUGCGAUCUGUUGGGCCGCGGUCCAUUCAGCGCAGGCGCAAGGAGACGGAGACAUCCAGGCCAGUCGUUUCACUGGAAAACCUGAGGGGGAGGCGCAACUGAGGGUCCGUCGGAGAGGCCAGGAGUCCCUCAGGGGGUAAGAGUUUUUUCAGUCACGUUCUGCUCCUGUUCUCUGUCAGUUUCAUUCUUGAAGUGGACAUUCUAAUGGUUUAACUCAACUUUUAUUACCCAAAGUACAGUAUAUUCAUUUGGGGGUUGGUAUAUCUCAUUUUUAAAGCUUGAAUUCAAAGCUAGCAUCAUUUUCUUUAGAUGCAGUAGAGUAAUGUUGCAACUUGUUGUGCUGUUUGAGUUAAAGCCAAACUGGGUUGAAAGCACC
rnacentral:lncRNA from 12 species